AGUGAACGCUGGCGGUAGGCCUAACACAUGCAAGUCAAACGGCAGCACAGUAAGAGCUUGCUCUUACGGGUGGCGAGUGGCGGACGGGUGAGGAAUACAUCGGAAUCUACUUUUUCGUGGGGGAUAACGUAGGGAAACUUACGCUAAUACCGCAUACGACCUACGGGUGAAAGCAGGGGAUCUUCGGACCUUGCGCGAUUGAAUGAGCCGAUGUCGGAUUAGCUAGUUGGCGGGGUAAAGGCCCACCAAGGCGACGAUCCGUAGCUGGUCUGAGAGGAUGAUCAGCCACACUGGAACUGAGACACGGUCCAGACUCCUACGGGAGGCAGCAGUGGGGAAUAUUGGACAAUGGGCACAAGCCUGAUCCAGCCAUACCGCGUGGGUGAAGAAGGCCUUCGGGUUGUAAAGCCCUUUUGUUGGGAAAGAAAAGCAGCAGGUUAAUACCCCGCUGUUCUGACGGUACCCAAAGAAUAAGCACCGGCUAACUUCGUG
rnacentral:rRNA from 1 species